GUUUACUGAUUGUAAGCGUCGCAAUCCCAUCAAUCCAUCGUAAAUCUUGGACGCACAUGUUCCAACUACGUUAAUAAAUUUAAACGAUUUUUCCCAGACUAUGCAAAUGGACGCUUCAGCUUAACCCUUAAACACCCCCAAUUAGAACAAUUACCCGGUUUUUUUAAAUUUGUUGGUGCAUUCAUGCCGCCCAUUUCUUAAACAAGGACAGAGUUUAUAGUGACAGUAUAAGCACAUGUUUCUCGAAUACUUUUCACCCAUCACCAAGUAUAAUUGAGUACACUUUUCCCAAAAUAAAUCAACGAAGCUCCAUUCAUCCGUAAAAGGGUCUAUCCACUGCAUCAUUGAAGGUUCGUUUAUUACUGAUUCUCUAACCCUCACGAGGCGCAGGUAU